rnacentral:rRNA from 1 species
UACGGGGGGAGCAAGCGUUGUUCGGAUUUACUGGGCGUAAAGGGCGCGUAGGCGGCCACCGCAAGUCGGUUGUGAAAUCUCUGGGCUUAACCCAGAAAGGUCAACCGAUACUGCGGGGCUAGAGUGCAGAAGGGGCAACUGGAAUUCUCGGUGUAGCGGUGAAAUGCGCAGAUAUCAGGAGGAACACCAUGGCGAAAGGCAGCACUCUGGGACGUGAC